CCAAAUUCUAGGUAUUUCGUGAUUAGUCUAGUGUAGGGACAAAGACGGACAAAUCAGACAAGAGCACAACUCUGAAAAACACAAAGGAACUUAAAUUUUUCCGUGAAAACAUGCUGAGGGAAAGUACAGUAAAAGAAAAAAUAGAAGGAAAUAUAAUAGAAGAAACAUACAAGAAUCAAAGUAGGAACAAACAGGAGUCACAGUAGGACAAAUACAGUAAGAACACCUCACAAAAUCACAGUAGAACAAGUAAAAUCAGAGAAACCCUAAAUCGGAAAAGACGAAUAGUUUUGAAAGCAAACUUUUAAAAAAGAUUUAAGAAAAUCAUUUUGAAAACCUUGAAGAAUUUAUAGAUCUAGAGCGGAUCUAAAGAAAUAUAGAAAUACCUCGAAGGGCUAGGGUUUCAGAAGAACCCUAGAAGCGAGAAAGGCCUGGAAAAGGGUCUGCUCAGAGCCAGGUGAGUCAGAGAUAGGCUCAUAAGACCAGGACAUGCUGGAGAUGGCCGUGAAACUUAAAUCGGCGACUAACUGAGCAAAAACCUUCAAGGUCAGACCUUGAAUUCCCAGUAGCAUGCGUAUAAGAGCAUGUGGAGGUGAGUACAGGCUACCCAAGGCUUGAGGAUUCCAUGGAUUCUGAUGAAACAUGGUGGAAGAGAUGGGGGAGGGCUAGGGUUUUGGAGGGGCUAGAGAGAAUUGAGAUGAUGAGGGAUUGAUGGCGG
rnacentral:lncRNA from 1 species